GGGCCCGCACAAGCGGUGGAGCAUGUGGUUUAAUUCGAUGCAACGCGAAGAACCUUACCAGGGUUUGACAUCCUGCGAAUCUCUUGGAAACAGGAGAGUGCCUUCGGGAACGCAGUGACAGGUGGUGCAUGGCUGUCGUCAGCUCGUGUCGUGAGAUGUUCGGUUAAGUCCGGCAACGAGCGCAACCCACAUCCCUAGUUGCCAGCAGUUCGGCUGGGCACUCUAUGGAAACUGCCCGUGAUAAGCGGGAGGAAGGUGUGGAUGACGUCAAGUCCUCAUGGCCCUUACGGGUUGGGCUACACACGUACUACAAUGCUACGGGACAAAGGGCAGCAAGUUCGCGAGGACAAG
rnacentral:rRNA from 1 species